AUUGAACGCUGGCGGCAGGCCUAACACAUGCAAGUCGAACGCACCGCAAGGUGAGUGGCGCACGGGUGAGUAACACGUGGGAAUGUAUCCUUUGGUUCGGAAUAACGUUUGGAAACGAACGCUAAUACCGGAUGAGCCCUGUGGGGGAAAGAUUUAUCGCCAAAGGAGCAGCCCGCGUCUGAUUAGGUAGUUGGUGGGGUAAUGGCCUACCAAGCCGACGAUCAGUAGCUGGUCUGAGAGGAUGAUCAGCCACACUGGGACUGAGACACGGCCCAGACUCCUACGGGAGGCAGCAGUGGGGAAUAUUGGACAAUGGGCGCAAGCCUGAUCCAGCCAUACCGCGUGAGUGAUGAAGGCCUUCGGGUUGUAAAGCUCUUUCGCACACGACGAUGAUGACGGUAGUGUGAGAAGAAGCCCCGGCUAACUUCGUGCCAGCAGCCGCGGUAAGAC
rnacentral:rRNA from 1 species